CCGGCUGGUUGCCCCUUUGGCCAAGUGUGUGGCCUCAAAGAUGGCAUCCGGAGCUGCGUGGAGCAACCGGGACGCUGCACCCUGGCCCCCGCCACCCGCUUCAUCUCCUUCGACGGGGCCACCGGCACCACCACGGCCACCGGCAUCUACGUGUUGUCCACCCUGUGUGACCCUCAGCACCCUGCCUGGUUCCGGAUCUUGGCCAACGUCGUGGAGAACUGGGACUGGCCAACCGUGAUGACCCUUCACCUCUUCAGCUCCAAGGCAUUCAUCACCAUCAAGAGGGACAAGAACAUCUGGGUCAAUGGGGUCCCGGCCACCCUCCCUGUGGAUGUCUCCAGCACGUUGACCAUCACGGAGACCCGGGGCACCAUCUGGAUCACCCAAAAACCCGAAUUUGUCCUUGGCCUCAGCCCCACGGGGGAGGUGACGCUGACGGUGGCCCACGACCUGAGCAAACAUCUCUGUGGCUUCUGCGGCAACUAUGAUGGCAACGCGGCCGACGACCUCCGAGGGCCUGAUGGGAAAUUGGUGGGGAACGUGGUGGCACUGGCCAAGGCCUGGAGAGCACCUGACCUCACCUGCUGAUGCAGAAAAACGGGGUUUAAGGCAGCUGGAAAUGGGACAACGUGUCUCAUCGCUGAGGUCGUUGCGACAAAACCGAAGCAGAUAUGAAAAAAAUUAUAUUCCACUCCCCCAAUUUGAGGUUUUUAUCCCCAAAAAAUUAAAAUUUGGAGAA
rnacentral:lncRNA from 1 species